ensembl:lncRNA
AGUCAAAACAAAAAGCUGAAGUAGGGAGCUUUCCAAAAAAUGAAAAGUAAUGUAGUUAAGGUGGAAACCCAACUCUAUGAUAUAGAAAAUAUUCAAAUAUGCCUAUAUGUGCAAGUUGAUUUUAAAAGUUUUGAGAAGACAUUCCUAUUUCUAACCUGGCUGUGGAGUACCAGAAGAGAAAAAAAAGGUGUGUCCACAUCCCUCUGAACUAGCAAAGACAUCCUUUGCAGUUAACAAGAUAGCAACAUAAGCAGUCCUUGUCUUUGCAGUAUUUAUAUCUUUACAUAGGUGUCUUCUGAACACAAAUUCUAAGGCAGGAUUAAACAUAUCCUUAAAGAUCAAUAUACCUAAUUGCCAUAAAAAAACCUAUCAGUUAAUUCAUCUGUUUUAUUAAAUCAGGGUCACAGUGUUUGGUUUUUGCAUAUUCAACAUAAAAAACUACCAGUUCGGAAAAUAUACUACUUUUCUCUAGAAAUUCUUUUCAUGUCACAAAAUAAUCACUGCUACACAGCACUCAAUACUCAACAGUACUUUUUUUCCUCCCUGUGCAAUUUACGUAAGUGGUAAUACAAAGAGGACAUCCAUGCAAUCCACCUGUGUUUGCACCUGCUGGGUCAGAGAGACCUUGUUCCCUACUCCCACUGCUGGCAGUGAAGGGCUUUGAUGCAUUCCCAUGGGUUUCUGGAGAGCUAACUACAAGAAUGCUUCCUGUCACAGCUGGAAAAUCAUCACCUAUUCUUCCUGUGUAAGUGGUCUGAAGGGAUUACAUUUCUCAGUUACUGUGAUAAUUUAGGCUUUUAAUGUGUUUUAUCAUGAGUAUUUAAAGCUAUUACUUAGGAAAGAUUCAUACCACUAUGGGAAAGAUAAGAGCACAAAGAUUCCUAUCAGACCUGUAUACAAUGAAAUACUUCCGUUUAUUAUAUUUCAAUUAUUUAUUUAUAUUCCCAAAAUGACAUGGUUUGGUGUGUUGAAUUAAUUUCCUAGCAGCCAACACUGCAUAAUGCAACAUGAUCAUAUUGGAUUAUUCCAUUUUGAUGUUUGAAUGGUCCAUCAAAGCCUUAUAGAAAUUUUUUGUCUCUGCUAUAUGACCUGUUAGUCUUGCAUGCCUGCAAACAAAAUUUAUUUAAAAAGGGGGGGAAAAAAACUCCAUAUGAAAAUUAUGUAUGUGCUAAUAUACAAAGAGAAGAUUCCUUGGAAAGGAAAUGGUAAAACAUUUGAAAAGGCCAAUGCAGAUUACAGAUCUAUUAUCCCAAACUCCUUGAUUUUCUGGAUUAUCCCCCUCACCAUCCUCAGUAUAUCUCAGGAACAACAGAGGAAGCACUGGCUGUUCACAAAUUCAAGCACGAGUCUUUAAUGCUUUAAAGUCACAUCUUUAAGACACAAUAAUUUCAAAGAGAGAAAUACAAGCAUAGAAGUUUAAAAAUCCGUUUCCUGUGAAAACCAAUAGCAGGUUUUAAAAGUGCAUACACAUCUAUCCAGAUUAUUGACCUUUCAAGCAAAAGGAAACAAUGUCCUUUCAAUACACACUGUAAAUAAUUAAUAACUGAGUAAAUACUAUUCCCAAAACUAUGUAAUACAUUCAUCUAUCGAUGCAAUAAACAGGGUAACUCAUUCUUUAAACACUCUAUAAGGAAAUCAGAGCUAAUUUAAUUACAUAUUUGUGAAGGCAAUUCAAGUCCAGACACUCAGAAAAUGAAGUAUUUUAAAAUAGUAUGGAAUUAAUUUAUACUAUACUCAAGACUUCUACAGGUAAAAAUCUUCCUGCUAAUUACUACACAAAGCAAGAGUGAAUCAUAGAGUUAUUUUAUGCAACAGUAUUCAAAACAAAAAGAUGAAAAAAGGGAAUUUAAUCCUCAGUUAUUUGCAUGGAUCUUUCCUGAACUAGAAAAAUAAAGGUUACAUUGCUCAAAGCAUUAAAGCCCUGAACUUUCAUGAGGGAACUUAAAUACUCAGGGCAGUUGUUGAAGUGUUUGAUGCAUAUAAGGUGCUAAAUCAGUGAAAUCAGUAGAACCAUGGGGCCUGUAUAGAAAAAUCUGUGAUUUAAACACUGAGAUUUAAGAUGAAAGGCAACUCUGAAAGCCAAGUUGUGCCAUUCUGAAAAAAUCUUUGCAAUUAUUUCCUCCUCUUCUCUUAAACACUUGUAAUCUUUGAAAAGGAAAAAUCGCCACAAAAGAAAAAAAAAGUCAAGUCACAUGAUAAAGUUUUAGGCUCCAUAAAGAUCCCACAUGCAUUACAACACAAUUUUAAUGAGAUGCAUCAAGGCAAGUUUAUCAGUGAAUCAGUCCUGUUAGGAAUUAGUUUCAUCCUUCCCAGUUAGCUUCUGA